UUUACGGACCCAAAGGCAGUAUUUGGUAUUUCCAUAUUUAUUAAUAGGGAAUAAUAAUAGAAUUGACGUAAA
rnacentral:tmRNA from 14 species